GUUAGGGGGUAUUUGAGGACUGGGUUUGGAACCAUGGCUCUACACGAAUAGUGUAGGUAUGUGAUGGUUUCCAGCAACAUUUGUGAAACUGCUUUUCUACCUUUUAUUAACUGUUUUUUCUUUGAAGGUCAAUAGUAACGUUUGAUUCUUGUGGAUCAAUCUCUAUGUUUUAAAUACAUGUAUGUUGAACAAAUCAAUAGUCAUUGUGACAUUUAAAUAGAUCAAGCUAAAUAAAAUUGAAACAUUUAUAUUUUACUUAUGAAUUUUACAUUACAAUUUGUAAAUGAUGGCUAAACAGCAUUUUAAAAAUGGGGACCAAUAACAACCUUGCUGUAAAAUGAAACAUCAAUUCUAUAAUGAAGGUUUUGCAUGUAGUUCUUUUAAUGAGUGAGUUUUAUAUAUGUAUUUCUAUUAAGUAAAAGUGUAGCAAUUAAUUUAUUACAGCACAACGUUAUU